CGAACGGUAACAGGAAGCAGCUUGCUGCUUUGCUGACGAGUGGCGGACGGGUGAGUAAUGUCUGGGAAACUGCCUGAUGGAGGGGGAUAACUACUGGAAACGGUAGCUAAUACCGCAUAACGUCGCAAGACCAAAGAGGGGGACCUUCGGGCCUCUUGCCAUCGGAUGUGCCCAGAUGGGAUUAGCUAGUAGGUGGGGUAACGGCUCACCUAGGCGACGAUCCCUAGCUGGUCUGAGAGGAUGACCAGCCACACUGGAACUGAGACACGGUCCAGACUCCUACGGGAGGCAGCAGUGGGGAAUAUUGCACAAUGGGCGCAAGCCUGAUGCAGCCAUGCCGCGUGUAUGAAGAAGGCCUUCGGGUUGUAAAGUACUUUCAGCGGGGAGGAAGGUGUUGAGGUUAAUAACCUCAGCAAUUGACGUUACCCGCAGAAGAAGCACCGGCUAACUCCGUGCCAGCAGCCGCGGUAAUACGGAGGGUGCAAGCGUUAAUCGGAAUUACUGGGCGUAAAGCGCACGCAGGCGGUCUGUCAAGUCGGAUGUGAAAUCCCCGGGCUCAACCUGGGAACUGCAUUCGAAACUGGCAGGCUAGAGUCUUGUAGAGGGGGUAGAAUUCCAGGUGUAGCGGUGAAAUGCGUAGAGAUCUGGA
rnacentral:rRNA from 1 species